UACGUAGGGGGGCUAGCGUUAUCCGGAUUCACUGGGUUUAAAGGGUGCGUAGGAGGGCAGGUAAGUCAGUGGUGAAAUCUCCAAGCUUAACUUGGAACUGCCGUUGAUACUAUCUGUCUUGAAUAUUGUGGAGGUGAGCGGAAUAUGUCAUGUAGCGGUGAAAUGCUUAGAUAUGACAUAGAACACCAAUUGCGAAGGCAGCUCACUACUCAAUCAUUGACUCUGAGGCACGAAAAGCGUGGGGGAUCAAACAGG
rnacentral:rRNA from 1 species